GCCAGUGUCAGACGGCCGAGAGCUUGCGUGUGGCAUUAAGCGCUCACACACACAGGUAACGCAUAAGUGGCUCGCGUUACCUGUCGAAAGUUCCCACCGGUUCGUGGUACCCGCACGCCUUAUUACGAGAGCCUCGCUGCCGCAUAGGUGGGCAUUCAGGCUCGCCGUCCACCUACAGAAACAGAAAAAAUUUGCUGCUGAGACAAAAUCUACGGUGGAUGAGAAGGAAACUCGAAACGGAAAUAUAAGAAUGCAGAUAUCAAAACGCCGAAAUAACGAAAGUUGAGGACGGAAACGCCGGCGACGAAAAGGCGCAUCGCUUGACGAAAUUUAAGUCGAUGGAGAAGAAGGAAUCCGACGAAUUCGCAACGCGAAUGCCGCGGUGAACCACGAGUGAAACUAGGUGAAAGUAGAAAGACGUACGAACUGCCCAUUGGUAGAGAAAACACUCAAAAAAACAUAAUUUUGUGCGUUAGAUCAUUACAUAACUAUGGUCAGUUGUUCCACUUACAAGGUAUACAAUGUUUUUACGGUUCCUUUCACUUACUCGUUUUCCACGUUACGGUGCGUUACUUGAAUAUCGGGGAUCAAUUACGACUCGCCGCCCAAUCUGGGCUCUUUAAUUUCCAAACGCGAGGCGCACUCUCGACUUUUUGUCUUAUUUUCCCCUCGAUCUCUCGCACGCUCGUUUUUCUUUUGGCCUUACCGCCGGGAAUUAGCAUAAAUUAGUCCGGGAGGUCUCCGGGAUGUUCAGCUAUCACUUUCCCAUGCAUCCGUAUGGAUGCGCGUCUCUGAGCGUUGCUUUUUCGAAGACGAGUUUCUUCUACGUUGUCGUAAUCUCCAAUCGGUUGGUGAAGCUUUUCGUGAAGAUGAAUCGCGAAGAUUUAUAUUGACAGGUUGUCUCGUCGACGGAGAUCGGAUCUCGUGAAACUUUCCACGACGAUAUAUAACCCCAACUACGGGUCAGACGGGCUUUUCCGCGACCGACUCGACGGUUCAUUUCAUGAGGGACCUUUGGCACCGCGACGACUUUCACGAAAACAUAAAAUGUCGCGGAAGAUGUCGUUUGGCUCGUUUGACUUCGUGCCACCGAUACGCAGCUGCGCUCAUCAAACAAAUUCCUAAUGUCCGUUGAUUAAAAAUUCCGCGCGGUAAGGAACGCGACGAUAUAUUGGAUAGGUGUACGUUUUAAUGAGCUAUACAUUAGGCCACGUGAUUAACUUAUGUGACAAUAAAAAAUAAUUAAUUCAAUUAA